UACGUAGGGGGCAAGCGUUGUCCGGAUUUAUUGGGCGUAAAGAGCUCGUAGGCGGCUUGUCGCGUCGUUCGUGAAAACCUGGGGCUCAACUCCAGGCUUGCGGGCGAUACGGGCAGGCUAGAGUUCGGUAGGGGAGACUGGAAUUCCUGGUGUAGCGGUGAAAUGCGCAGAUAUCAGGAGGAACACCGGUGGCGAAGGCGGCCCUCUGGACCGGUACUGACGCUGAUGCGCGAAAGCGUGGGGAGCAAACGGG
rnacentral:rRNA from 1 species